AGCACGUCAUUUUUUAGGGUUCCGUAGCCAAAUGGCAAAAAACGGAACCCUUAUGGAUUCGUCAUGUCUGUCUGUCUGUCCUAGAUGUAUUCUGUGAACCGCAUUAAGAUUUUCACACAAAAAAAAAAAACAAUACAUUUUGGGGGUUCCCCAUACAUACAACUGAAACUCAAAUUUUUUUUUUCAUCAAACCCAUACGUGUGGGGUAUCUAUGGAUAGGUCUUCAAAAAUGAUAUUGAGAUUUCUAAUAUCAUUUUUUUCUGAAUAGUUUGCGUGAGAGACACUUCCAAAGUGGUAAAAUGUGUCCCCCCCCCCCUGUAACUUUUGAAUAAGAGAAUGAUAAAACUAUAAAAAAUAUAUGAUGUACAUUGCCAUGCAUACUUCCACCGAAAAUUGGUUUGAACGAGAUCUAGUAAGUAGUUUUUUUUAAUACGUCAUAAAUCGUAAACCACAAUU